GGCUGGUCCGAUGGUAGUGGGUUAUCAGAACUUAUUAACAUUAGUGUCACUAAAGUUGGUAUUCAACCCUCCACUGCUAAAUUUGACUGGCUUUAA
rnacentral:Y_RNA from 1 species